CUCCUCCCAGGAUACUAUGAGAACCCUCUCCUGUACCCCCUUAUCAUUAUAAUGCAUGUCUGGGGUUUACCUAUUACACACUGAAAAAAGAAUUAGGAAACCUUUGAAAGAGACAAUCUGAUUUGGAAGAAAUUGAUUUCUCAAAAUGGAUCUGGAAGAGCAAAAGGUCCAAGAAUAACUGAGAAGCAAUUCUGAAAAAGUAGAGCGUGGAACAACCUGCCCUACCAGAUCCAAUGGAGGAUGAUUUAAUAUUGCACCUUUCUGCUGAGGAAGCCAAGAACUCUCCACUAGUACGUCCUUACUGCGCAGUGAGCCGAGGGCAGGAAACGUCAGGCCCAUUUUACGGAGAGUAGACUGAGGCCAAGUGACGAGGCCUGUUCAUUCUCUUGUUGAGAAUGCCAGACAACAUCAUAAUUUGUAGUGAUUAUGAGUCUUUGUAGUUUCUUCUUGUUAUUUUUUUUUAUUAGUGAAAAACAUUUUAUUGUUGUUAGAAAACAUUGUUUGGAAAAGUUACCCAAUAUACAACUGGAAAUCAAAGCCAUGAAUAAGAAAUAUGUGCGAAAUAAAAUGCAAGUCACUAUUAAUCUGCUUGCUAUAGAGAACACUUAAAUAAAACAAAAUACAUACACAUUA